GUUGAUCUUUUGCCCAAAUUAUAUCAUAAAUUUUGGCAUGAGGUUCCAAUCAUUUUUAUGCACUUACCCAAUAUAGACCCUUUUCACAUGAUGGUGCAAAUGUAACAGGAAAGAAUUCAUAUGCAUCAAUUAUUCUAGUGAAUGAAACUCAUACCAGAUAGACGGGUCCAAAUCCUCCCAGGCCUAGAAGAUUUGCCGGAUCAAAAUUCUUUGUUGCCUUUUUCAGUGUGUGAAAGUCAAAGUAACUUAUUGAGUGGAGAUUUUCGCUUAACAAAUCUGCCGAUGCUGCAACGUGAGGUGAAAGCACUUACUUUUUUGCAGUUUUAUAAACAUUACUAGUUUCUUCAGAUCUAACAAUUAACUCUGUUACCUUGAGUUGUUCCUGUUGGUCUUAAUAGCUUCACCACUGUAUUCGGUUUGAGCAAUUUCCUAAAAAUCAAUAUGAGAAUCAACAAGAUCACCAGCACAACUAGCAUCCCCAGGAAAAAGAAGAAAACUGGAGAAUGUAGCAGAGAUGAAGAGCUCUUCAUCUGACCUUCAGAGGUUCCUGGAACAACAGCAUGUAAAUUUUGUUGGUUUCAAUAUGAAAAUUGAAUUCCUAUGAAAUUACUAGAAAGAGUGAAAGCACCUACAACUUUAAAUUUGUUGCCAAAACAAAGGCCAAAGUUAAAGUUCAGUUCCAUAUCUGGUAUGAACUACUGUCAGAAUCAGUGUGGAGCUUGUAAAUUACCUUCUAGUAUUCGGCGAGGCAUCCCUCAGUUGGCCUGCAAAACGUAAAUGAAGAAGUUUGCAACCAAAUAUUAAAUUCAGGUUUCCCUUUCUCUGUUUUAUUGUCUUUGCUUUCUUGUGUUAUCUGUUUUAUUGUCUUUGUCUUUUGGGUUUGAAGCAGCAAAGCUGAUCUCUGAAGUGUGCUGAAAAUGCUUCAGCUGAACAGAUGAUGACACAAAACCAGCAUAGUUUCUGACGAAAGAGGUAAACAAGUGGUGAAGUGUGUAUAAUUCCCUCGGAUCUUACAAAUUCUCAUUUGUUCCUACUGGCAGUUGGCCCUCUGAUAGAAAUAUCCAAACUUCAUUUUCACAAUUUUUUUUAGCUGAUAUCGUAAAAAUGGAUAGGGACGUUUGUGUGAGAUCUCACAUCGGUUGGGGAGGAGAACGAAUCAUUCUUUACAAGGGUGUGGAAACCUCUCCCUAAUAGACGCGCUUUAAAAACCGUGAAGGGAAGUCCGAAAGAGAAACAAUAUAGUUUGUCUGUGGUGUUGUUUAUUGUUUAUGCUAGUUAGAUCUUGUUGUGAUAUCCAUCCAGACACUGAUGGAGUUUGCUGUCAACAACAGCUAAUUGAAAACAACAAGAAAUGUGUUCACGGAGUCAAAAUAUAUCUUCAAUUUAAGUAAGAGAAAGAGAAGAAAAACAGAGGUGGGACAGAGACCUGGCGGUGGUGGUAGUGUCAAUGCCAAUGCAUUGACCGAAAACACAGACGAGAUUGGGUCAAAAUACAGAAUUCCAAAGGCUUUGACCAAUCGUUUUGAUGUUUGGAAAAAGAAAGUCAACAUGAAUGUCAAAUCCAAGAUUGUUAAAGAGGAAUUGAACCGAUCUUGAGAGUUGAAAAUUGGGCUUUUUGAAUCAGCGCCCGCGUAGGAGAAGCUCAAACCCAUCACAGGACGAGAGAAAAAUCAAGGACCUCCUCGUGCUUCCAAAGGGCCAUGUGCCAUUAAAAGCUGACAUUCAGAGAAAAGGGUAGAGAAAUAGCAGAGGGAAAGCUUGGGGGAGACGUUCAUGGAGUUAAUGAACAAAAACUUUAAUCUUUUUUAUGUUUGCUUGGCUUUGCAUUCAUAGUGUGAGUUGUUUGUUAGUGUUGCCGUCCGUUUGGCCUGGCCUGAAUGAUGAAAAUCUCAGAACUUUUUUAUGGCAUUGAAUUAAAGAGGGUUGUUUUUCUGUUGGUAAGGGCUUUUGAAUGCUUAUAAAACUUGAAAUUGUGUGUCAUAAGAUAUCGUAAGAGAAGUCCCCAACAUUAUGCCGUGGUCGGUCCAAUCACUGAUGGAAACGUAUUGAGGCUCCAACUCAGGCACUUUUAGAUGCAUGUCAACUAAGAACAGGCUUGACUUGAAUGUAGAGACACCUCCACCACCACACAAUUUGCUACCCACCAAGUAUAAACCAUCAUAAGUGGCUGAGUAACGCCUAACAAUCCCUCUCCUACGAAAG